UAUAUCGGAACGUGCCAGUCGUGGGGGAUAACGUAGCGAAAGCUACGCUAAUACCGCAUACGAUCUAAGGAUGAAAGCGGGGGAUCGCAAGACCUCGCGCGAUUGGAGCGGCCGAUAUCAGAUUAGCUAGUUGGUGAGGUAAAGGCUCACCAAGGCGACGAUCUGUAGCUGGUCUGAGAGGACGACCAGCCACACUGGAACUGAGACACGGCCCAGACUCCUACGGGAGGCAGCAGUGGGGAAUUUUUGGACAAUGGGCGCAAGCCUGAUCCAGCAAUGCCGCGUGCAGGAUGAAGGCCUUCGGGUUGUAAACUGCUUUUUGUACGGAACGAAACGGUGAGCUCUAAUACAGCUUGCUAAUGACGGUACCGUAAGAAUAAGCACCGGCUAACUACGUG
rnacentral:rRNA from 1 species